GGGCCCAUAGCUCAGUUGGUUAGAGCAACCGACUCAUAAUCGGUUGGUCCGGGGUUCGAGUCCCUGUGGGCCCA
rnacentral:tRNA from 1 species